UACAGAGGUGGCAAGCGUUGUUCGGAAUUACUGGGCGUAAAGGGCGCGUAGGCGGCCUUCUAAGUCAGACGUGAAAUCCCCCGGCUUAACCUGGGAACUGCGUCUGAUACUGGGAGGCUAGAGUAUGGGAGAGGGAUGUAGAAUUCCAGGUGUAGCGGUGAAAUGCGUAGAUAUCUGGAGGAAUACCGGUGGCGAAGGCGGCAUCCUGGACCAUUACUGACGCUGAGGCACGAAAGCGUGGGGAGCAAACAGG
rnacentral:rRNA from 1 species